rnacentral:rRNA from 1 species
AAUAGAUACCCGGGUAGUCCACGCCGUAAACGUUGGGCGCUAGAUGUGGGACCUUUCCACGGUUUCCGUGUCGUAGCUAACGCAUUAAGCGCCCCGCCUGGGGAGUACGGCCGCAAGGCUAAAACUCAAAGGAAUUGACGGGGGCCCGCACAAGCGGCGGAGCAUGCGGAUUAAUUCGAUGCAACGCGAAGAACCUUACCAAGGCUUGACAUACACGAGAACGGGCCAGAAAUGGUCAACUCUUUGGACACUCGUGAACAGGUGGUGCAUGGUUGUCGUCAGCUCGUGUCGUGAGAUGUUGGGUUAAGUCCCGCAACGAGCGCAACCCUCGUCGCAUGUUGCCAGCACGUUAUGGUGGGGACUCAUGUGAGACUGCCGGGGUCAACUCGGAGGAAGGUGGGGAUGACGUCAAAUCAUCAUGCCCCUUAUGUCUUGGGCUUCACGCAUGCUACAAUGGCCGGUACAAAGGGCUGCGAUGUCGUAAGGCGGAGCGAAUCCCAAAAAGCGGUCUCAGUUCGGAUUGAGGUCUGC